rnacentral:lncRNA from 1 species
UUUUUGAGGAAUCCGAAGAUACAUGAUUGGUACCCAUAUUUGCAGAAGCAUCACAUCAUGGGAGUACUUCAUUUGGAAUACAAUGCGUACCUUGCCAAAAGCGACAGGCAUGAAAAAGUAAGAGCGGCACAGACGUCUCCUCGACAGUGAAAGAUGACAUUCGAGCACUAAGUUUUGAUUGCCAAAAGAGACACCAUACCUGGACACGGGAAGAGAUCGCAGUGCUCAAAGAUGGUUAGUACUAGCGCAGCAGCAUACCGGGCACGCCCGAGCAGUCGACUCCAGAGACAGCUGCUCCACUCAGGCAUUGUGUCGAUCACCUGUGGAGCGUGCACUGCUGAGCCUGGAGCGUCAAGGUUCGGUUCGACAUUUCGUCGAGCACCUCGAUUGCACAGGAUGGGGUACCACCCCUGCGGCGCCGAUAGCGUACGCUAGGUCGCGCAAGCCCCAAUGCCCCAGCACCAACCAGCGAUUCCACGUCCCCGUGCUCGCUCGGGAUUCCGUCGACGUCGACGUCGACGAGACCCGAAGUUCUCCC